GACGUAGGGUCCGAGCGUUGUUCGGAAUUACUGGGCGUAAAGCGCACGUAGGCGGAUUUGUAAGUCAGGGGUGAAAUCCCGGGGCUCAACCUCGGAACUGCCUUUGAUACUGCAAAUCUCGAGUCCGGAAGAGGUGAGUGGAAUUCCUAGUGUAGAGGUGAAAUUCGUAGAUAUUAGGAAGAACACCAGUGGCGAAGGCGGCUCACUGGUCCGGUACUGACGCUGAGGCGCGAAAGCGUGGGGAGCAAACAGG
rnacentral:rRNA from 1 species